UGAGGAACAUGACCUUCGGCGGGGGAUAGCCGGCCCAACGGCCGGGUAAUACCGCGUACGACCACAUGGGGACAUCCCCGAGUGGUGAAAGCAGCAAUGCGCCGAUGGAGUGCCUCGCGGCCUAUCAGCUAGUUGGUGAGGUAACGGCUCACCAAGGCAACGACGGGUAGCUGGUCUGAGAGGAUGGCCAGCCACAUUGGAACUGAGACACGGUCCAGACUCCUAGGGACG
rnacentral:rRNA from 1 species